rnacentral:rRNA from 1 species
GUGGGGAAUUUUGGACAAUGGGCGAAAGCCUGAUCCAGCAAUGCCGCGUGCAGGAAGAAGGCCUUCGGGUUGUAAACUGCUUUUGUACGGAACGAAACGGUCCGGGUUAAUACCCUGGGCUAAUGACGGUACCGUAAGAAUAAGCACCGGCUAACUACGUGCCAGCAGCCGCGGUAAUACGUAGGGUGCAAGCGUUAAUCGGAAUUACUGGGCGUAAAGCGUGCGCAGGCGGUUUUGUAAGACAGGCGUGAAAUCCCCGGGCUCAACCUGGGAAUUGCGCUUGUGACUGCAAGGCUGGAGUGCGGCAGAGGGGGAUGGAAUUCCGCGUGUAGCAGUGAAAUGCGUAGAUAUGCGGAGGAACACCGAUGGCGAAGGCAAUCCCCUGGGCCUGCACUGACGCUCAUGCACGAAAGCGUGGGGAGCAAACAGGAUUAGAAACCCUGGUAGUCC